CAGAGCUGGGAUGCACCAGGCUUUGUGGGACGUUAUUGAUAUAACUGGGACCAUACAGGAACAUGGGCUUGCAAACCAAAAGGUCCGUAGUGGCACGCAAAUCUUAGGUAAAGGGGGU